rnacentral:tRNA from 1 species
NUUAGUUAAUGAGCUUGAAAUAAGCAUAUGUUUUGAAAACCUAAGAAAGAAAUAAUUAUUCUAUUAACUUUAACAAAAU